rnacentral:rRNA from 1 species
AUUGAACGCUGGCGGCAGGCCUAACACAUGCAAGUAGAACGAGUGGUGGACGGGUGAGUAAUGUCUGGGAAACUGCCUGAUGGAGGGGGAUAACUACUGGAAACGGUAGCUAAUACCGCAUACCAUCAGAUGUGCCCCGAUGGGAUUAGCUUGUUGGGGGGGUAACGGCUCACAAAGGCGACGAUCCCUCGCGGGUCUGAGAGGAUGACCAGCCACAGUGGAACUGAGACACGGGCCAGACUCCUACGUGAGGCAGCAGUGGGGAAUAUUGCACAAGGGGCGCAAGCCUGAUGCAGCCAUGCCGCGGGUAUGAAGAAGGCCUUCGGGUUGUAAAGUACUUUCAGCGAGGAGGCGUUACCCGCAGAAGAAGCACCGACUAACUCCGUGCCAGCAGCCGCGGUAAUAC